AGUGACAGAAAGGUGGUUCC
rnacentral:siRNA from 1 species